CGCAUCUGUGCAUGCAGCAUAUCAAUAAGCGGAGGAAAAGAAACUAACAAGGAUUCCCCUAGUAACGGCGAGUGAAGCGGGAAGAGCUCAAAUUUGGAAAUCUUAAAGGGUUUCCCUUUACGAAUUGUAGUUUAAAGAAGUGUUUUCUGUUGAGGUUUUGGUAAAAGUUCUUUGGAAUAGGACAUCAUAGAGGGUGAGAAUCCCGUAUUUGACCUUUACUUUCCAACUUUGUGAUACACUUUCAAAGAGUCGGAUUGUUUGGGAAUGCAGUCCAAAAUGGGUGGUAAAUUUCAUCUAAAGCUAAAUAUUGGCGAGAGACCGAUAGCGAACAAGUACCGUGAGGGAAAGAUGAAAAGAACUUUGAAAAGAGAGUUAAACAGUACGUGAAAUUGUCAAAAGGGAAGCGUUUGACACCAGUGUUGCUUUUUCUGAAAAUCAAUUAAAGAACUGUUUAUGCUAAGCUGUUUAGACUUUAUCAGCUAUCUGUUUAGUUUUGAGCUUUUCUUUAAUGCACUUUUCAGUUAACAAGUCAACAUCAAUUUCUUUUGCUGUAAAAAAGCUUGAGGAAGGUGGCUUGAGAUUCGUCUUAAGUGUUUAUAGCCUCUUGCCUAUGCAGUCGGAGAGAUUGAGGUCUGCAGCGUAGAUCCUUCGGGGCUAAAUGCAUUUGUGCUAAGUUAUAGCAUUUUAUAGACAACUUGUUGACUAUGAUUUGUCUUGUAGCUUACUCGCUUAUGUUAUUUUACCUACGCUUAGGAUGUUGAGUCGUAGAGCACGCAG
rnacentral:rRNA from 1 species